GUGCUCGCUUCAGCAGCACAUACACCAAAAUUGGAGCAAUACAGAGAUUAGCAUGGCCCCUGCACAAGGAUGACAUUCAAAUUCGUGAAGCGUUCGUAUUUUUC
rnacentral:snRNA from 1 species